rnacentral:pre_miRNA from 1 species
CUGUGGUGCAUUGUAGUUGCAUUGCAUGUUAGGCUAACACGUGCAGUGGAUCUGCUUUGCAACACAG